AACAAUAAGUGUAGUUACUUCAAUACACAUUAAAAAAUUACCAACCCGCCUGGUGUUCACGAAGAUGACGCUCUGAGUGAUGGCCAGCGUCUCGUAGAGGUCGCAGAGCGUCUCGAGCUUCCACUCCUCCUUCUCAACGUUGACGUAAAACUGCUUGAUACCUUCCAAGGUGAGCUCGUCGCGCUUCACCAGGAUCCUCACCGGCUUGCUCAUGAACUUCCUCGUGAUCUCGAGAGCCUCCGGCGGCAUGGUCGCCGAGAAGACACCCCAUCACAACAAAGAUUCACACGAAUACAGGCGAGGAAACAAUCGAGAAACUGAACCUAAUCAACAGAACAUAUAAUCAAAAAAUAGAAUCUAGGAAACCAAGUACGACCAACUACAUCGAUAAAAUGACUCUAAUCUACCAAACAAAUCUUCACAACUAAAAUCAAAGAACCCAUCAUGCGGAGGAAGUAGAUCGAGAACGACAAAUGAACACAUACCUUUUUUAAUUGAAAACAAACGGCGGGGAAUGGGCUUCGAGACAGGCUCGGGAUUGACUCGUGAGGAAUUCGUGACCGAUUCGGGGGAGAUGAGAGGAGAGAUAAGAGGAGAAAACAGCGAUCACGUCGUCGGUAUACUAUCGCCACAUGAGUCGCCAGAGAGAGAAUCAGAAGACGGUGCGAUCGAUAAUCUGAAACGAAACGAGGGUUUCCCCUACCCGACGACACCGUUUCAUCUCCACUCGACAGCUGGCAAGGAAAGACGACAUAAGAACGACCUUAGUUAAGAUUCGUCCCGCACAAUUAAACCCAUUUUCGAUUUAUUUUUCGGCCCAAAAUACUUAAGGACCAAAGUUCGGACCGCCGAUAAUCAUGGCCUAACUACUUCUGCACCGAGAUAUGAAAAUGUUUAAAACCAAAACUUUCACGACAAGAUUUGAUACAAAGGAAGAUAAGAAAAGACAACAAGCCAGAAACAAAUACUCCAUAUGAUUUUAAAAAUAAAAAUGGUCACAAGAGAGAGAGAGAUAUGUUCUUAGGAACAGAAGAGGUGACAAAACACGAGAAAAUGUAAACAAACCGCUUAUGGAAAGAGAGAUGAAGAUGAGAUCAAAAUCAGAUCAAAGAGUGCGUGCCUUAACAAACAAGUAAAAACCUUUCUUCUCCGGUAGACAAUGCCAAAGUUUCUCCCCUUCACAGCAGAUCAGCAACGUUCGAAGGCAGCUCCUCAACAACCACGUUGUAAAACUUCUGAAUAUCAAACAGCAUCCUCUCAUCAUCCUUCGUCACGAAGUUGAUCGCCACACCUUUCCUCCCAAACCUCCCACUUCUUCCGAUACGGUGAAGGUAGUUCUCAGGCUGAGUCGGCAGAUCGUAGUUGAUCACCAGAGACACCUGCUGAACAUCGAUACCACGAGCCAAGAGAUCAGUCGUGAUCAACACACGAGAUGAACCAGACCUGAACUCUCUCAUGAUAAUGUCUCUCGUGUUCUGGUCCAUGUCUCCGUGAGUUGCAGAGACUGUAUGGUCACGCCCCCUCAUUUUAUCAGUGAGCCAGUCAACCUUCCGCCUAGUGUUGACAAAGAUGACGCUCUGAGUGAUGGCCAGCGUCUCGUAGAGGUCGCAGAGCGUCUCGAGCUUCCAGUCUUCCUUCUCAACGUUGACGUAGAACUGCUUGAUACCUUCUAAAGUAAGCUCGUCGCGCUUCACAAGAAUCCUCACCGGCUUGCUCAUGAACUUCCUCGUGAUCUCGAGAGCCUCCGGCGGCAUGGUGGCCGAGAACACUCCCACCUGGAUCUUCGGGGGGAGGAGCUGGAAGAUGUCGUAGAUCUGGUCCUUGAACCCGCGGGAGAGCAUCUCGUCGGCCUCAUCAAGAACGAACAUCUUGAUGUGGUCGGCGCGGAGGGACUGGCGCUUCAGCAUGUCGAACACGCGCCCCGGGGUGCCGACGACGACGUGGACGCCGGCCUGGAGGAUGCGCUGGUCCUCGCGGACGCUGGUCCCGCCGACGCAGGCGUGGACCUUGACGCCGAGGUAGUCGCCGAGUGCCCUCAUGACCUUCUCGAUCUGCUGGGCGAGCUCUCUGGUCGGGGCGAGGACGAGGGCUUGGCACUGGACGAGGGAGUAGUCUAGCUGCUGGAGGACGCCGGAGCAGAAAGUGGCGGUUUUGCCGGUACCGGACUGAGCCUGCUGGAUCACGUCGAGGCCUUUGCAGAAGGGAACGAUUCCUCUUUGCUGGAUAGCAGAAGGCUUCUCGAAACCUAUUACAUAAAAGCACACUCGUGAGGUGAAGCUUGUAAACGAGAGAAGAAACUUUCUUUAGGUUUGUACACGUACCGUAAGCGUAGAUACCCCUGAGGAGAUUCUCUUGGAGACCCAUGGCGUCAAAGCUGUCGUGGGAUUCAUCGUAAGAGGUGAAGAACUCAUCCUGUCCUUCAAGACUGUUAACCAUACAAACACAAUUUAGCAACUAACAUGUGGGAAAGAGCAAAAAGUAAAGAGUGAAAAGGAAGAAGAGGACUGACACUUCGUUCAACUUCUGGUCGAACUGACGUGCAUCAAACUGAGUGCCUUCUGGUGCGGAUCCUGCCAUGACUACAUAACACAGAACAAACAACAAGUUAGACAUAAACAGGAACCAAAUUAAACAACAAGAGAGGAGAUUUAAAAAGACAAUCUUUAAGGUCUAAACAACAUCAAACACAAACAAAAAAAACAUCAGAGCUUAAAGUUCGGAUCUUUUUCCACAAAAAAAACAUGGGUCUUCUAAACCAAUCGUAGUGGUUUCAAAAUCUAACAAAACUAAAUCAACCUAAGCUGGGUGUAGAUCCUAGAAUAAAUAUUCGUCAUCAUCAUCAUCGGCUCAGAGUCUUAACAGAGAGAAGAGAAAAACAAAGUUAGAUUCGUAGUGGGCUAAACCGAUACCACGAGCCAAGAGAUCAGUGGUGAUAAGCACACGCGAGGAGCCAGACCUGAACUCUCUCAUAAUAAUGUCUCUAGUGUUCUGGUCCAUGUCUCCGUGAGUCGCAGACACCGUGUGGUCACGCCCCCUCAUUUUAUCAGUGAGCCAGUCAACCUUCCGCCUGGUGUUCACGAAGAUGACGCUCUGAGUGAUGGCCAGCGUCUCGUAGAGGUCGCAGAGCGUCUCGAGCUUCCACUCCUCCUUCUCAACGUUGACGUAAAACUGCUUGAUACCUUCCAAGGUGAGCUCGUCGCGCUUCACCAGGAUCCUCACCGGCUUGCUCAUGAACUUCCUCGUGAUCUCGAGAGCCUCCGGCGGCAUGGUCGCCGAGAAGACACCCACCUGGAUCUUGGGCGGGAGGAGCUGGAAGAUGUCGUAGAUCUGGUCCUUGAACCCGCGGGAGAGCAUCUCGUCGGCCUCGUCGAGGACGAAC
rnacentral:lncRNA from 1 species